CUGCCGCCCGCCCGCCCGUGUGCGGGGCUCGGGCCGUGCGGGAGCCGAGGCGCCGGGCAGCGCUGGAGCCGCUGCCAUGACAACCCCGGGGAUGCUGCCGGCCGGGGCCGGGGUGCUGCUGCCGCCGUCCCCCCGCAUCCCCCCCGCCCCGCUGCGCGCCUGAGCCGCAGCCGGAGCAGCCACCGGCCCCGCGGGGGCUCCGAGACCCUCUGGACACAGCCGAGGAGCAUCGGGGACAUCGCCUGCAGCUCCGCGGGGAAGUUUCGAUCUUGCGACAGAACCGGGAUUUUGGGGAGCUUUAUUGGGUUUUUAAAUUUUUUUUUGUAUUUUUUUUUAAAUUCUCCUUUCUCUCUGUGAUUUAAACAAAAGCUCAAGAGCCGGAGAACAGCCCAGCCCCGGCCCGCUGUGUUCCCCCGGUGCCGAUGCCGCCCUCCCCCUCCUUUCACAGACACUCACGUUUCCUCCGUGGGUUAUAAACUUUUGAUGCCAGAUCUCCGCAGCGCCUGCCCAGCUGCAGCUGAAAGUAGCGUCUCCGGCAGCCACACAUCUGUGACCUUCAUCUCGUGCUCCGCACCUUCUCUCCUCCUCUUCCUCCUCCUCCCCCCGGCCCUCCCGUCCUCCUCCCUCGCCCGAGGACAGCGGGACUCCCUCCGAUGCCGCUCGGCAGGCUCAGCGCUCGCAGCCAGCCUUGCCGGGGGCUCUCCUGAUCUCCGUGGAGCUCCGCAGCGCUCGCCCCGGUGGUUUUGCUCCCCCCCAUCCCUCCUCUCCACCCACCCCUUCCCCCUUUUCGCCGUGUCGGGUGUGUUUUUUGCCUGUUGGAAAAGUCCCCGCUGCCCAGGAUGGGGGUCGGUGGGUGCUUGGCCCUGCCCUGGAGGUGCCUGGUCGUCCUCUGUCUCAGGCUGCUCUUCCUUGUGCCCGCAGGAGUGCCCGUGCGCAGCGGAGAUGCCACCUUCCCCAAAGCCAUGGACAACGUGACAGUGCGGCAAGGGGAGAGCGCCACGCUCAGGUGUACUGUGGAUGACCGGGUCACGCGGGUAGCGUGGCUGAACCGCAGCACCAUCCUGUAUGCCGGCAAUGACAAGUGGUCUAUAGACAACCGUGUGGUCAUCCUGUCCUACACCAAGACCCAGUACAGCAUCAAGAUACACAACGUGGACAUAUACGAUGAGGGCCCCUACACCUGCUCUGUGCAGACAGACAAUCACCCCAAGACUUCACGUGUCCAUCUCAUCGUGCAAGUGCCCCCCCAGAUUGUCAACAUCUCGUCGGACAUCACCGUGAAUGAGGGCAGCAGCGUGACCCUCAUGUGCCUGGCCUUUGGGAGACCGGAGCCCACCGUCACGUGGCGGCACCUCUCUGGGAAAGCACAUCCCCCAGGGCAGACCUUUGUGAGUGAGGACGAGUACCUGGAGAUCACGGGCAUCACACGGGAGCAGUCCGGGGAGUACGAAUGCAGCGCCGUCAACGACGUGGCCGUCCCGGACGUGCGGAAAGUCAAAGUCACCGUCAACUACCCGCCGUACAUCUCCAAUGCCAAGAACACGGGCGCCUCGGUGGGCCAGAAGGGCAUCCUGCAGUGCGAGGCUUCGGCUGUCCCCGUGGCGGAGUUUCAGUGGUUCAAGGAGGACACCAGGUUAGCAAACGGGCUGGAGGGAGUGCGCAUCGAGAGCAAGGGCCGCCUGUCCACGCUGACCUUCUUCAACGUCUCGGAGAAGGACUACGGCAACUACACGUGCGUGGCCACGAACCAGCUGGGCAACACCAACGCCAGCAUCAUCCUCUAUGGGCCCGGAGCAGUGCACGAUGGCGGCAACGCGGCGUCCCGGGUGGCUGCUGGCCUCUGCCUCUGGGCCACCCUCCUUGCUCGCCUCCUUCUCGACUUUUGAUAAGGGAGCGGAGGGUCCCGGGAGGCCUCGCCGCACCUCUCCCACGCCGCGGGCUCGGCCGCCGCGCCGCCCGGGGACUCCUCUCCAUCGGACGGGCGAUGCACCGGAGGACGGGCGGCGGUGCCGAGCGUCCGAGGAUGGCCCCGUCUCCCACGUGCCGGGAUCGUUCUCGCCGCCGGUUACACUGUACAGACCCCACCACGUGCCACCAGACUGUCACCCGCCACCAUCGCCCCGGGAAUGUGGCCCGGCACGGACGGUGCCCCCUGUGGCUGCCUCAUCUCCAACGCCGGUGGGCAUGGAGCUGUCGGGGCGGGUGCCGCCCAGAGCCUUCACCGGGAUGUCCGUCUCGUCAUCUCACUAAGCCGCCUAUGCCCAAAAAGACCCCAAGGUUGAAGCCUCUUGGCUCUGCCUUCAGCCCUCUCGGUCCUGAAUGUCAGUUCUCGUCGCCAAAGCUCCUCCCUAAGCACCCCGAUGUCGCCGGACCCCCAUCACCUGCCUCUGCUCCUGACAGGAUGCUCCCUGGCCCUUUGGGAGAGAGUCAUCCGACACAACCAGUUGUCCUUCAAGGGUCACACACUUCCCACUACUCUUUAUUCCAGCUGACAUCUUUCCCCUGUGCUUCCCACUAAAACCCCCUCACCUUCCUGAGGACACGAGGCUGCUCUCCCAGGAAUGUGAGCCCUGGGGACUGCCACCAGCCCUCCUAGAGACUAGAGCCUUCUUGCUGCAUCGGACAGCCAGGCCCUCACUCUUUGCUCCAGAUCCCUGCCCAUUCUGCUGCUGCCCUCCUGAUGGCAGGGGCUGCCCCAUGGCUCUCACCUUGAUGCUCUGCUAGCACUUUUUGGGGAAAUUUCUCUGGGCUUGUUUACCAAGCACUUUCCAACCUGCACAUCAAGAGCACAGCAUCACCAGCGUGGGGCAGAGGCUCUGAACAACAGAUCAAAACACCAGCUGACAAGGCCCUUUUGCUACAGCUCUGACGUUCAUGACCGUCUGCAUCUCUGCCCCUCAUGGGGCCCUGAGCUGCAAUGUCCUCACUCUGCCUUGUCUCAUGCCCAUCACGUGUCCCUGCCUGAGGAAAGUCUGAUGUGUCUGACCCUGUGGAGGUGGCCUGGGCUCUGUCAAUUUGCUGUGCUGGCACAGCAGGGACAAGGAUGGCUCCAAUGCUCCCUGCUGCAACUUGCCUGUGACACCAAAAUAGACACACCCAGACUCUACCCCCUCUGCUUAUUCUAGCCACCCUGGGAGCUGCCACCCAUGGUGGUGGUAGCCAUGUCAUCUCCCUGCGUAUGGAAUUGUGCUCCUGAUAGCCUCAUGCACAUGGACCCCCUUGCCUGGUACAUUGUGGCAGCCCUGAGCCUUCUUGUCACUCCAGGCCACCCAGGAAUGCUUUGGUUCCACAGUCUGGGGAUGGACGCUCCCAUCCUGCUCCUGAAAAGUCACAUGUGGCACCAGACCCUAUUGCUGCGACAGGGAGACUCGACUACAGCAAGGCACUGAGCAAGCACACAGAGUGUCCCUUGUCCUGACCCAGCACCUCCCCGUGCCUUGUCCCUUCCUUCUCCCUCUGUAAGUGAGAUGACUUCAGAACAACGGCCACGCACAUGCUGUCUUCCCCAUGCAAAUUCUGCUGCUGCCCAAACCUGCUUCUUUCUGUGGCUGCAAGGAAUCUGAGGUGCCAGCCCUCAGCACACAAGAUGGAAAAACCACCCGGAGCCAGAGGCCAUGAUGGGCCACCACUGUGUCCUCUAUGCAGGCCUGCCCGUCUUCAUGCCUGUUCUCAAUGGGCUGCCCAGGACCUGCUACAAAAUCUCAGUGGAUGCUCCCACCCGCCCAUCCUGGAUGCUCAACGCGUACCAUGGCUGAUUGACAAAAACCCCUGGCCCCAGGCAGGGGCUGCCCCAGUGCUGGCCUGAGGCGCUGGCUUACCUGGUGGACGGGGAUCCAGUACUGACUGGGUGAGUCCACAUCCUGCGGUCCCUGCGGUGCUGCUCUGCUUCUCAGCUGGCAUCCAAGAAAGGUGGCACUGUCAGCGAUCUGGGUCCUAUCCCGUGGCCCCGGGCAUGUUUAUCACGUGGGGAUGGCACUGUCUUCAGCCAGCACGGCAACACGCACAUCCUUCCCCACAUGCCCGCUCCAAAAUACCGUGGGUGCAGGAGACACCUUGCCCUGAUGCCUUUAUUGGUCCGCACUGCCCCACAACCACCCUCCACUGCCACCCCGUGCCCUUUCCUUGGUCAGCCCCAAAUUUCUCUGUCCCCACAGCAGAAAUGCUGCAGAGUCACAGGGCAAGAGGCCACGGCAAAUCGGAGAGUGGCGGCGACGAGAUGCCACGACGCACACUGAGGCUGGCGGGCCUGGUGCCAGGGCUGCCCCCAUCCCAUCCUUGUCCCUGGGUCGGGUGAGCUCCCCUGUACCCUGCUGGGACGGCAUUCGACUUUCUCGUGCCAUGUAACGUGCCAUUGUGAGGAACGUGUUGGCUGUCUGAGGCUGGUGCUGCCACGGCUCUGCCAGGUGGCAGACCCGUGUGUGACCACUGCUCAUCCAGUUUGGAUGCCCGGGGGGUGGCCGGGUGCCCAGGGUGGGGGCAGUGUGGCUCUUGGGUCUCUCCUGCUGACGGCUGUGAUGGCCGGUCUUGAGUUUCUGUCAAUCAUUGUAUUCCAAGGGUGGCUAUACUACCUGAGAUUUGUGCAUGUUACAUUGUAGUUGUAACCUUUUCUAAUUCGGCAAGAAUAAGAGAUGGUUGUGAUUGUGCAGUGUAUCAAUAAAGUUUGGCGAACUUUGUACCUUCGGGGCUUUGCUUCACGGGUCCCGCACACCCAGGGAAGGGAUGCAGUGCUGGGCACCUGCUGAGCUGAGCUGGGAGGGCUCCUGAGUGCCUGGGACCUCUGCCACUCUUGGGGUCCCACCUAGCACUUAGCUGGACCCGCUUUUGAUCAUCCCUUGUGACAGUGAUGCUUGAAGUCCCACAGCUGGGGGCCUGCUGCUGUUUGGGCCACCCUUCACCCCAUCCAUGCAUCUCCCCUGGGAAUCCAUCAGUGAGUCUCGGCUCCUGCCCACCUCUGUCUGCUGAUGAGCAAUGAGCACACACCUGUUGAUGGAGGCCCUGAAGGGUAAGGACUGUCUCAUCACUCACCUACGUUCCAUGGAAGCAGCAUGACUGGGGGCCUCUUUUCCACGACUGAGACAUUCCCAGCAUCUCCUCCAUCAUCUUGCAACAACGCUCACUCUGACAACUAAACCUGCCCCCAUGAAGAGAUGCCUCUGCAAACAAUGCACUCCCAAGAUUUGCUCCUAUUGUGCUCUGGCAGUGUGUGACACAGACCAAAUGUCUUCAUCAAAGGACAAAAAACAUGAGGACCAGGAGCAGAAGACCUGUGACCCUCAGUGUCUCCCUGACAUGGCUGUAAUCUCACCCAUCACUCCCAGGGGAUGCCUCACCUUUCCACACCAUCAACCAGGAGAAAACAUUCAACAAGCUCCUCUAGUGUGAGACCUGCUGCCAGGAGACUGAGGGUAGUGGGACUGUGACAGACCCAUUAGAGUCUUGCUCACUUUGAGACCCCUCUUUUGUCUUCCCCAACAUGGGAAUGAAAAGCCCAGUCCCAAGAGUUUUUCCCUGAAUGCCAGAACAAACAAACAGCUCCAUCGCAGCACUGCUAUGAGCUGCUGUGACCUUGCACAUCAGGAACACCUCUGCUGUCCCCCUCGAGUGACCCCAGCAGACAGUUCUGCCUGAUACCCAGUGCUGGACCUGCCUCCACUGGAGUCCAUACCUACAGAUGCCCAAACGCUCCUGCUUAUGGCACAUCCUGAUGCCUCAUCUGCAUUGUCCCCAUCACAGAGCGUGGGGAGGCAAUGCAGCCCCUCUCUGCCCAUGCGAUAUCCUCCACCUCCCUUUCCUGGCUUGAGAGGGAUGUUUCUCCAUGGCCCUCAGCAAUGCCCAACCUGUGCCUAAGGACAUGGACCUCAGCUGCUACAUCCAGGGGGAGGGAAGGUGUAUUGCAGACCAUGACCUCCAUCCCUUCCCAGCACCAAGAGACACCCUUACCGAUGUCAAUAAAUUAUUACAUUAACGCAUCCAUCGAGCCGCCUCUCUCUCUUUAACUUCCUCUUUGUCUGCUACUUUGGCACUGGACACUCCUUGAUCUCUCACCUAGAACACCAAAAAAGUUACAAUUACAGAGAGGAGGUGAGGGAGAGAGCCCUGUUACCUCCAUACCUAUCCCUGUAUUCCUCCCCAUUGCCCCCAAGCAUCUGGGCAUUGCCCUUCCUACCAGAUUUGCUCUACUGUGGCUGGCUGGUCCAACCUGGGAGUUGCAAGACCUGAAUAAAGACCAACACCAUCAUCUCUGCCAUCCUGACCCUGCUACCUGUGCCCAGCUGUCCUGUCCCCACACCCUCACUACCCUGUCCCUUACUUGGGAUGUGCCACAAAGUCUGAGCAUGGUUCUUCCCUUACCCCACAUGGACACUGCAUGUCACACCUCAAAGCAACACCUUCCCAUCCUUCUCCAUGCUCAUCUCUUGGGUUACAUCAUAGGGUCAAGAAACAAAAAAUGCUCACACCAAACUGUCACACCAUCAACAGCAACCAACUUCUGAUCCGGCAAAUGUGUCAGGUGACCUGAAGAAACCAGCACCCUGGAGGCUACAGCUGAGGCUGAGGACCAAACUCACUAAGCAGCCUUCCAGGAUCACCAAAAACCAAGACACUGACCAAGACAAGGCUCCACGGACAGCAAAAUGCAUCUACACCCAAACAAUCCUGCUGUGCUUUGCCUGUAUGCAGCACUGCAGGAGGGACCCUGUUCCCUGCACCCACCUCACAUCGCUCUGUCCCUCCUUCCCACGCAGGAUUCGCUUCAGCUGCUCCACAAGCAUCCCCAGCAAUGCUGUGCAGCUGGGCUAGAGAGCCACACCUGAGCUUAGGGGCACUGAGUGGGGUCCUGAGCAGGGAAAUUUGGGACAGCUGUGCCUCACACUAUCUCCAUCUACUCACCAAAGCCUUACCUGUGACAGCAUUCCCGCUGGGCUCAUCGGUGAGGUCCAGGGGCCAUCUCUCCAAUGUUCUCCUGGCCCAUUGUGAUGACUUGGUGCUCCCAUCUGCCACUCCCCCUCCAGCAUCCCUCCCCACAUCCCUCCCCAUUCCUGGUGGCGCAAGGGGAGAACGUGGAGUGGCCCUGGCCCCCGCGGCAAUGAGCACCACAACCAGACGGAGCGGCCACAUGGAACAAUCGUUUUAAUGGAUAGGCAGAGAGAGCCCCCUCGCCGCCUGCCUGCCCGCGCCCGGGCCCCCCGCGUGCCCCCCGCCGCCGGCCGCAGGGAAGGAAAGGAAAUUGAAGGAGGAAAACCAAUUGCAGGAGAAACCCCCGCUGAAAUGGACGGCGAGGCAACAGGUCCUGCGCCUCGGCAGGGGCCAGUUGCUUCGUCUUCUUUUUCUUAUUUCUUUUGUGAUGUUUUGUUUUUUUAAUAUAUAUAUAUAUAUAUAUAUAUAUAUACACACACACACACGCACGCCCACACACACAUAUA